AUUGAACGCUGGCGGCAGGCUUAACACAUGCAAGUCGAGCGGAGAUGAGGUGCUUGCACCUUAUCUUAGCGGCGGACGGGUGAGUAAUGCUUAGGAAUCUGCCUAUUAGUGGGGGACAACAUUCCGAAAGGGAUGCUAAUACCGCAUACGUCCUACGGGAGAAAGCAGAGGAUCGUGGGACCUUGAGCUAAUAGAUGAGCCUAAGUCGGAUUAGCUAGGUGGUGGGGUAAAGGCCUACCAAGGCUACGAUCUGUAGCGGGUCUGAGAGGAUGGUCCGCCACACUGGGACUGAGACACGGCCCAGACUCCUACGGGAGGCAGCAGUGGGGAAUAUUGGACAAUGGGGGAAACCCUGAUCCAGCCAUGCCGCGUGUGUGAAGAAGGCCUUAUGGUUGUAAAGCACUUUAAGCGAGGAGGAGGCUACUGAGACUAAUACUCUUGGAUAGUGGACGUUACUCGCAGAAUAAGCACCGGCUAACUCUGUGCCAGCCGCCGCAGUAACAC
rnacentral:rRNA from 1 species